UACGUAGGGGGCAAGCGUUGUCCGGAUUUAUUGGGCGUAAAGAGCUCGUAGGCGGCUUGUCGCGUCGACUGUGAAAGCCCGCGGCUCAACCGCGGGUCUGCAGUCGAUACGGGCAGGCUAGAGUUCGGUAGGGGAGACUGGAAUUCCUGGUGUAGCGGUGAAAUGCGCAGAUAUCAGGAGGAACACCGAUGGCGAAGGCAGGUCUCUGGGCCGAUACUGACGCUGAGGAGCGAAAGCGUGGGGAGCGAACAGG
rnacentral:rRNA from 1 species